rnacentral:rRNA from 1 species
GGAAUAUUGGACAAUGGGCGAAAGCCUGAUCCAGCAAUACCACGUGAGUGAUGAAGGUCUUCGGAUUGUAAAGCUCUUUUAGUAGGGAAUAUAAUGACGGUACCUACAGAAAAAGCCCCGGCUAACUUCGUGCCAGCAGCCGCGGUAAUACGAAGGGUGCUAGCGUUGUUCGGAAUCAUUGGGCGUAAAGCUUGCGUAGGCGGCUUGGCAAGUCAAGUUUGAAAGCCCGGGGCUUAACCUCGGAAUUGCGCUUGAAACUGCUAUGCUAGAGUAUGAAGAGGGAUAGUGGAAUUCCUAGUGUAGGGGUGAAAUCCGUAGAUAUUAGGAGGAACACCGGUGGCGAAAGCGACUAUCUAUAUCAUUACUGACGCUGUUGCACGAAAGCGUGGGGAGCAAAC